CGCCUCCUCCAACUUUGUUAGGGUAGCACGUCUCUGUCCUUUCUCUUCUCCCGUCUCUGUGUAUGUGUGUGUGUUCGUCGUUUCUCCUUUCUUCUCUCAUGAAGAAGGGGCUGCUCAGUUUUGAAACAACAAAUGUGUGUGUGUUCGUCGUUUCUCCUUUCUUCUCACAUGAAGAUGGGGCUGCUCAGUUUUGGAACAACAAACCAUGGAGGAUAUGGGUCUGCACGGGCUUGGAGCAGGAAGCCAUGGCGGCCAAGGUUGAAGAUGAUGGUGUUGUCUUCUUCCUUCUGAUUGAUUUCCAGCAGCUUAAGAACUUAUGCGGUGGUGUCAACCUCUUAUGCUCUCAGGGAAAAUCCUAAAGAAGCCUUGCUUUGCAUGGGAGCUGCAGUUCAUCUGGCUAAGUGCUCAUGCUAUGGAAGCGACGAGGGCUGCCACAGUGUUGACAAGGUUAAUAUCAGGCUUUAUAACCAAAUGUUUUUACAGGAGUCGGAUCUAAGAGGGACGCAGUGGGUGCGGAUAGCGAGAUGGUUUACAGGACUCAGAUCUGAGAGGGACGCAGUCAAAUGGUCUAACCAAGUUUUCUUCAAUCCUCUGUUCUACAUUCUGGUUUUGAUGCCUUGCUGCCUUCGACAUUAAGGUGGGAAGCUUGGCUGAUUCCACCUUCAGUCAGAAGAUUAAUACAUCUAUGGUUUUAUUUUCCAUGCCAACAGCUUGAUUGAUGAUUCCUAAUGCAUCUCAGAAAUAAUUGUUUCUGGAGGAAUGACCAUGCCACAGGUGAUUACCGCGCUAGACCUGCCCUUGAUAAGAACCAGGGAAACCAUUUAAACAGAAUGAUGAUUGUGUUAGCCUUUAAAUAUCGCCAACACAUCAGGUAUUGGCAUCUAGAUGUUUACAACUACUAAAGGAACACCCAUGUCGUAGAUGAUGCUACAUCUGAUGUAUGAUUUGAAGAUUAGAAGCUGGAGCACAAGGAUUGUGUGAUGGAGUAAACAUUGGUUAUAUAUGUUAGGCGGGUCAAAUAUUAAAGUGGGGUGCUCACACCGCACUUAAGUGGCUUACGGAGAUUACUGAAAUUGGUUUGUGGGUGUUGUGUGCUCACACCGCACUCAUAAAAUUACUAUCAAGAUUUGGAGUUAGUUAUGAGCUAAAAUUAGUGAUAAUGAAAAACCAGGAGAACACCAUAUUAGGUGAAUGUAAACCACUUACAGGACAGUGCCAACAACAGCAAGAGUGCCAUAAUAAGGUGCUAAAGCCUUCCAAGUGAAGGACAA